CGGGUAAGUUCUUUCGUCAUUUUUCCAUUUUCCUCCCACUUUGCCUUCUUGUCAGUAAUGUUUGUCUCCUUCUCUCUGAUGCUUCUGCCUCUUUUGAUCAGCGUUUCCACUUCCAUCAAGGCCUUGUCUCUAAUCAUCUCACCCUUUGCUAUCAAUGAUGGGCAUGGACAAUCAGAGGCACCUGCUGUGAGUUUCCGUGAUGAUGGAAAUUCUUAUAACAAAUCUUUGGACCUUCAAUUCGAAAAACGACUUGAAGCAGUUAAAAGAUCAGCACUUGAGAAGAAAAAGGCAGACAUACAAAAAGAAUUUGGAGCAAUUGACUAUGAUGCACCAGUGAAAUCGGAAGAGAAAACCAUUGGACUUGGUACCAAGAUUGGAAUAGGUGUAGCUGUUUUGGUCUUUGGCUUGGUUUUUGCGCUCGGAGACUUUCUGCCCUCUGGAAGUAUCAGUCCUGUUAAGGAUUCUGUGGUGGAAGAUAUCAAACUAUCGAGAGAAGAAGCAAGUAAUCUUAAGAAUAUGCUCAAAGAAUACGAGCUUACACUUCGUAGCAACCCAAAAGAUCCAACUGCUAUGGAAGGUGCGGCAGUUGCCUCAGCUGAAUUAGGUGAAUAUGCACGAGCAGCUUCUUUGCUUGAAGACUUGAUAAAGGAGAAGUUAGAUGAUUCUGACAUUUUCCGCUUGCUUGGGGAAGUAAAAUAUAAACUAAAAGAUUAUGAUGGGAGUGUUGCGGCAUACAAGAGUGCCACAAUGUUAUCUGAAGAUGUCAAUUUUGAGGUUCUGCGUGGCCUUACAAAUGCAUUACUUGCUGCUGGGAAACAAGAUGAGGCUGUUCAAUUCCUUUUGGACUGUCGUGAACGUCUUAAAAGUUUAAAAUUAGGAAGUAUGGCUGAGGGCAAGGAGAUGGAAACAAAAUUAUCGAUUGAUCCUAUUCAAGUUGAGUUACUGCUUGGAAAAUCAUACUCAGAUUGGGGACAUGUUGGUGAUGCUAUAUCUGUUUAUGAUCAACUUAUCUCCAGCCACCCUGAUGACUUCCGUGGUUACUUAGCUAAGGGAAUUAUUCUGAAGGAAAAUGGUAGGUCUGGAGAUGCUGAGCGGAUGUUCAUCCAAGCCCGAUUCUUUGCUCCGGAGAAUGCCAAGAUGCUUGUAGACCGGUAUUCUAGAUGACCUUAGCAUCGCCUACAUUCCAUUUAUGAAAAUCUGAAGCACAACUGGAGAAGAUAAAAGGUGCUCAUCUCUAAAUGGAAGCAAAAAACAAUUCUCCAGUGAGCGGGUUGCUUGGGCCAUUUCCUUCCGCUAAAAUGGUCUUAUGGUUGCGUCAAUCACAUAAAAAUUUACCCAUUCAGCCCCAACAUGCUCAAAAAGGUUUUGUUGGUUAAUGCAUGUAUGGCGGAGUGUACACGUGAUAAAAUUCCUGCUACGUGUCUUAAGGUUACUUGAUGUACAGCAGGUGUAUUUGCUUUGCUGUGUAUAUAUAUUAAUUACCAAUGUUUUAUAAUU